rnacentral:rRNA from 1 species
UAUUGCACAAUGGGGGAAACCCUGAUGCAGCGACGCCGCGUGAAGGAAGAAGUAUCUCGGUCUGUAAACUUCUAUCAGCAGGUAAGAAAAUGACGGUACCUGACUAAGAAGCCCCGGCUAACUACGUGCAAGCAGCCGCGGUAAUACGUAGGGGGCAAGCGUUAUCCGGAUUUACUGGGUGUAAAGGGAGCGUAGACGGAAGAGCAAGUCUGAUGUGAAAGGCUGGGGCUUAACCCCAGGACUGCAUUGGAAACUGUUGUUCUAGAGUGCCGAGGAGGUAAGCGGAAUUCCUAGUGUAGCGGUGAAAUGCGUAGAUAUUAGGGGGAACACCAGUGGCGAAGGCGGCUUACUGGACGGUAACUGACGUUAAGGCUCGAAAGCGUGGGGAGCAAA